CGGGUACGGGGACCGUGUCAGGCGGGCAGUUUGACUGGGGCGGUCGCCUCCUAAAGAGUAACGGAGGCGUUCAAAGGUUCCCUCAGAAUGGUUGGAAAUCAUUCGCAGAGUGCAAAGGCAAAAGGGAGCUUGACUGCGAGACAAACAAGUCGAGCAGGGACGAAAGUCGGACUUAGUGAUCCGGUGGUACCGCAUGGAAGGGCCAUCGCUCAACGGAUAAAAGCUACCCUGGGGAUAACAGGCUUAUCUCCCCCAAGAGUCCACAUCGACGGGGAGGUUUGGCACCUCGAUGUCGGCUCAUCGCAUCCUGGGGCUGAAGUAGGUCCCAAGGGUUGGGCUGUUCGCCCAUUAAAGCGGUACGCGAGCUGGGUUCAGAACGUCGUGAGACAGUUCGGUCCCUAUCUGUCGUGGGCGCAGGAAAUUUGAGAGGAGCUGUCCUUAGUACGAGAGGACCGGGAUGGACGUACCGCUGGUGCACCAGUUGUUCCGCCAGGAGCAUGGCUGGGUAGCUACGUACGGACGGGAUAAGCGCUGAAAGCAUCUAAGCGUGAAGCCCCCCUCAAGAUGAGAUUUCCCAGUAUGUAAGACCCCUUGAAGACGACGAGGUAGAUAGGUUGGAGGUGGAAGUGCAGCAAUGCAUGGAGCUGACCAAUACUAAUCGGUCGAGGGCUUAUCCAAG
rnacentral:rRNA from 1 species